AAUAGAUACCCGGGUAGUCCACGCCGUAAACGAUGGAUGCUAGCUGUGAUGCGUAUCGACCCGUGUCGUAGCGAAGCUAACGCGUUAAGCAUCCCGCCUGGGGAGUACGAGCGCAAGCUUAAAAACUCAAAGGAAUUGACGGGGGACCCGCACAAGCGGUGGAGCGUGUUCUUUAAUUCGAGGAUAAGCGAAGAACCUUACCAGGGUUUGACAUCCUUGGAAUCUCUUCGAAAGGAGAGAGUGCCGCAAGGAGCCAAGUGACAGGUGAUGCAUGGCCGUCGUCAGCUCGUGUCGUGAGAUGUUUGGUUAAGUCCAUCAACGAGCGCAACCCUUAUGAAUAGUUGUACUUUUCUAUUCAGACUGCCCCGGUAACGGGGAGGAAGGAGGGGAUGAGGUCAGGUCCGUAUCUCCCUUACACCCUGGGCUAGAAACGCGCUACAAUGGCUGGUACAAUGCGCCGCGAAACCGCGAGGUGAAGCAAAUCGCACCAAAGCCAGUCCAAGUUCGGAUAAGAGGCUGAAACUCGCCUCUUUGAAGUCGGUAAC
rnacentral:rRNA from 1 species